UACGUAGGUGGCAAGCGUUGUCCGGAUUUACUGGGCGUAAAGAGCGCGCAGGCGGUCGUUCAAGUCGCGUGUGAAAGCCCCCGGCUCAACUGGGGAGGGUCACGCGAUACUGAUCGACUCGAAGGCAGGAGAGGGUAGUGGAAUUCCCGGUGUAGUGGUGAAAUGCGUAGAUAUCGGGAAGGAACACCAGUGGCGAAGGCG
rnacentral:rRNA from 1 species